AUCCCUAGCCACCGCGCUCUGACAUUACAAACCACCUUCCCACAGGACCAGACCCUGCCCUGCAUCCACCCGCAGUAACACCCACAAGGUCCUCACUCUGCCCCAGACAGCAGGCGGGUUCCUGACAUGAACAACUGUGAACACCCACACGCAGCCCUUGUUUCUCCCACCCACAACCCAGCCAUUCAGGAAUCAGUUCUUAGUCCUUCUGCACUCAAAUCCACAUUCAUUUCAACAGCAGGAAGAAGAGAGAACUCUCAUCCCCACCGGACACCAGGAGGCCGCAGUACGCGGAGCGCCCACCAGGUGUCAGAAGGAAAUCGCGGCGUCUGGGGGGCGGCUGUCCCUCCAUCUCCUCCGGCGGCCAGGGAUACCGAGGACACCUCUGAGCCUGCGAGCCAGGUGCAACCCACACCAAGAGACAUAAGGGGUGUCACCAACCCCACCCCACCAACAGCACCUUCUGCAAGUCACAGGAUAAAGCCGGAUACUCACCGCGGGGCCUUCUGGGCCGGGCGGGCCCUCGAUGAGCAUGCCCUGGGGAGACAGAGAGAGGGCGUCUGAGACCGCGGCCCGUCCCUCCCAACACCCCAGACCCCAGUGGUGUGGACGGCCUUCAGCUGCGUGCACAAGGGGCCCUGGCUCAGCUCCUGCUGUCCUGGGGAGUCAUGAUCACAGACUGCAAAGGGGGCCUGUGGCAGGGCCUCAGUGGCUGUCCUCCUAGCACUGCCAGGCAGAAGAGCAACCUGGGUCAGCGGCCAGCGACAGACACCAGCUCCCUCCAGACCAAUGCUACGAGAAGCACCUGAAGACACCGAAGUGAAGAAAAGGAGCCGAGACCACCAGGCUCCCCGCAUUGCCCCAAAGGGGAGUGCCAGCCAGGCCACAGCCACUCGAGGGAGGAGGUGGAUGUCAGGACAAGGGGCCUAGGGUGGAUUUAGGAAGGAUGAGGGAAAAAUAGGUGUCCCAGCCCCAGGCUGAACUUCUGCCCCCAGCCAGGACCACCGUCAGGCCCUGGGGCUGCAGCCUCUAGACCCUGCCUCCCUCCGGGUAGGAGGUGCGUCCUCCCAUGCACACAGCAGCCCAGAACCCACAGGAAACCCUGUCAAGUCCACCUGCCCACUCGGCCCUCCUCCCCCGGCCCUCACCUCACCACACGGGCCGGCUGCCUCAACCACCCCCAGGCCUCACUCUAACCCCAAUGGUGACAGGGCCUCCUGGCCCCUGGGUCAGCCUGAGCCCCGGGAAAGGCAACGUGAAUGGCUGUGAAGGCAGCAGUGGGAGUGGCUCCCUGCAGGACGGGGCUCCCUGCCCUGAGACCCCCAUUUCCCUAGGGCAGGAUUCCUCUCCACUUCUAACCUGGCAAUGCCAGGGUCAGGCGCCCCCAAUGCCCCAAGUGUCCUCUGUGUUCCAUGCCGACUUCAGGGUGACUAUUCCUCAAGGGACUUGCUCUGACAGAUGGGAGCCAGGUGCCAUUCAACAAGACAAUGGAGAAUGACCCCCGAGGCAGCCAGAGAUCUUUGAGGCAAGCUAGGACCCGGGGGGCCAUGUUUCAAAAGAGGUGCCCAGGAACUCAGCACUCCCUGCCCUGCACCCCUUCAAGUGUCUGCUCCCCACAUUGCAACACAGCAACCCUCAGCCGCCCAGGCAUGGCUCCAGCAGGCCUAGGCGCGGCUCUGGCUCAGCUCUAGAGGGUGUGGGUGUGGCCUUGGCGGUGCCCACGGGUACUGAUGAUCCUGCAGCUGCAGGGAAGGCAGGCAGGAAUGGCAGCCAUGGCGCCCUCCACCUAGAGGUCAAAGGGUGGCACGGACAGCCUGGGGUCCCACGCAGAAACCAGCCACAGGGGCGGAGGCUCUGCAGAGAGUUCCCUAGGAUGAUGCCUGGUGGAGCUAUGGAAGUGGAGCCACCGUUGAGACCCCAGGACUGUAGCAUCACCAGAGUACAGCGCCAGCCUGGGAGGGCAGCAAGGACAAGGCUCCAGCUCCUGAGACCUGCUGUGCAAAGCUGUAUGAGCAGUGCUGCCUGAGGCCCCGUGGCCGCCUCCACCCAGCGUAUCCAGGAGCACUCACUUGGCACACCAAGUGAAAGAUUAUUCUAGAGUUGUCGGAUAGAAGGUGGUUUGUCCUGUUAGGUUUUGAACUUCCUUGGGGCUGCUGCCCCUUUCUUCAUGCCUCCCUUUUGGAAUGGGAAUCUGUCCCCCCUGCCCCCCGCCACGUAGUUUGGAAGCAUGAAGCUUGUUUCAUUCCCCAGCCUCACAGCUGGACAGGGAUGUGCUUCAAGAUAGAUCAUUUAAGCCUGACUCUGAUUCGGGUGAGACUCUGGACUUCGGACUUUUGAGUUGAUGUGGGUACUGGAUGGGGUCAAUGUAAACUAUGUGAGAAGGACAGGAAUUUGGGGGCUGGGGCAGAAUGCUAGGGUUUGAAUGUGUCUCCCCAAAAGUCAUGUGUUGGAAACUGAA